GUCCCUACGUGCAACUGUACUACAGGUUUCCAGACGACUCUAACCGACCCGAAUGUGUGCUCCAAUAUUGACGAGUGUUCAGAAAAUAAUUACCUCUGUGGGGUGAGUUAUGAGCCCAAUCUCCACACCUAUGUGCCCAGUGGGAGAUGUGUCGACACUGCGGGGUCGUACGGCUGUCUGUGCAACCCCAACCUAUCCCUGCCAUCCUUCGACAACAGGACCUGUUUCCCCCAGCCUGUUCAACAGCAGCAGCAGCAACAACAACAACAACAACAGUUUCAACGUCUACUUAACCAGCUCUUGUUAUUUGGCCUGUUGGGGUCAUAACAACUGUCUUGCAUUGGCAAUAUUCCUAAAUUCUUGUGGAAACU